UACGUAGGUGGCAAGCGUUGUCCGGAAUUACUGGGCGUAAAGCGUGCGUAGGUGGUUCGUUAAGUCUGAUGUGAAAGCCCUGGGCUCAACCUGGGAAUGGCAUUGGAUACUGGCGACCUAGAGUGCGGUAGAGGGGUGUGGAAUUCCCGGUGUAGCAGUGAAAUGCGUAGAUAUCGGGAGGAACAUCUGUGGCGAAGGCGACACCCUGGACCAGCACUGACACUGAGGCACGAAAGCGUGGGGAGCAAACAGG
rnacentral:rRNA from 1 species